rnacentral:lncRNA from 1 species
AUUUGUUAUAGGGACUUUAAUAAGCAAACAAGUCUCUCACUAUCGUACAAGUCUUUCAUACUCCUCCUCGGAUGUAAAAAUAGAAAUCUAUAUGUGAUCAGUUUCUAGUAGGUACUACACUCCUACUAAUCCAUGUGCACCUCACCUAACAGUUAUUGGUAACGCAUGAACCAAUGAGUUGACAACACCUUAUCCAUUGCUUCACUAAGCAAGAUGCAGC